GUGGGGAAUAUUGGACAAUGGGCGAAAGCCUGAUCCAGCCAUGCCGCGUGUGUGAAGAAGGUCUUCGGAUUGAAAAGCACUUUAAGUUGGGAGGAAGGGCAGUAAGUUAAUACCUUGCUGUUUUGACGUUACCGACAGAAUAAGCACCGGCUAACUUCGUGCCAGCAGCCGCGGUAAUACGAAGGGUGCAAGCGUUAAUCGGAAUUACUGGGCGUAAAGCGCGCGUAGGUGGUUUUGUAAGUUGGAGGUGAAAUCCCCGGGCUCAACCUGGGAACUGCCUCCAAAACUGCAUGACUAGAGUACGGUAGAGGGUAGUGGAAUUUCCUGUGUAGCGGUGAAAUGCGUAGAUAUAGGAAGGAACACCAGUGGCGAAGGCGACUACCUGGACUGAUACUGACACUGAGGUGCGAAAGCGUGGGGAGCAAACAGGAUUAGAUACCCCAGUAGUCC
rnacentral:rRNA from 1 species